UACUAAAUUUGGUUACUAUGUUAAUAUGCUAAAUUUUGUUUAACAUAUACACUGCGUAUAUCAUCAUGAAUUAUAAUAUGAAGAUUCUGAAAUAAUAUCGCAUUCAGAAAUUUCAGAAGAAGAAAUUAAUAUUUCUGAAUUAAUAUUUCUGAAGCAGGUAAAUGUAGAGAUAAGAGAAUCACCGAUAAAA